rnacentral:misc_RNA from 1 species
UUAAACGCAACAUUCUACUAAAAACCUUCAACUUUUUCCACAUUAACAGACAUGAAAAUAGACAUGAUUUAAAUUGAUCCUACUAUUUACGAGUUUCUAGGCAGAUUAAUUUUCCCUUUAGAGUUUAGUAUAAUAGCUUGGCCGCCAUUUGCAAAGUUGUGUUUUUACACUUUUCGCAACAGGAAUUAAGCUUCUUCAGCGGUCAAUUCCACUACUGAUACAUGUGUUUGACUCUUCGAUAACCGUCUGAGAGACAACAAACUUCAGUGGGUCUUCUUAUAUCACUAGAAACACUAAAGCUGAUGAAACUGAAGACUUGAUCUUCAUUAGUCAACGAUAAGUGGAAAAGUACUUUUAUGAAAAACACAAAACAAUAUAAUCAGUAACCCUUGAGACCAGAAAGAUAUGUCGGCCAUAAAAAGUGAGAUGCAGAGUACACUCAUGAAGACUGAAACAACAUCUGUAGCUGAUGCACUAGAAGACCUGACUGUUAAUGUAAUACCUAAAGCAGAAAGUUCCUUUUGCUUUGAUUAUAAUGAGAAAAAAUGUUUACAGAUUGGUUGCAUGCAGCACGACAAUAGCUUUGGCCAAAAACUGCAUGAUAUAAAAAUUGAUCCAGCUGACCAGAAACACUGGAGGUGUGAGAAUGUUCCCAAAUUGGAGACAAAUUCUCAAAUGUCCAGUUCUUUCGUUAAAAUAGAAUGGCAGCCUGCUCACAUUGUGAAGACAGAGUGUAUGACUGAGCAUAA